rnacentral:misc_RNA from 1 species
GCUCUGGGCUACUGUAAGUGACGAUAUACUUCUCUCCUGGAGAGAAAUCUAUGAAUUUAACCUGUGGAUGUGCAUAUCUCAUUAGGCGGUUAAACGUAGUAGCGCCUCCCCAUAUAGCAGCACCCUGCCUAUGCACAGUUGCCAGAUAUGUCCCAAGAGGAGACCACUGAACAAAACUAUCCGUCCAGUACUGACGCUGAUAAAUAGGAUCAGGC